rnacentral:rRNA from 1 species
CACGUAGGCACCAAGCGUUGUCCGGAUUUAUUGGGCGUAAAGAGCUCGUAGGCGGUUCAGUAAGUCGGGUGUGAAAACUUUGGGCUUAACCCAAAGCGUGCAUCCGAUACUGCUGUGACUUGAGUACGGUAGGGGAGCGGGGAAUUCCUAGUGUAGCGGUGAAAUGCGCAGAUAUUAGGAGGAACACCGGUGGCGAAGGCGCCGCUCUGGGCCGAAACUGACGCUGAUGCGCGAAAGCUAGGGGAGCGAACGGG